CGCCGACGAGGCGGCAGACGACCGCCCGCGGAACGAGCGGCCGCCACCGGCGCGUUCGUCGACGACGACGGCGCCUCGGCGCGGGCGGUGGAAAAAUCAGA